rnacentral:lncRNA from 1 species
UAAGUGAGUGGUAAGAAGAGCACGGGACUGGGUACCAGUUUCUUCACACUCAGAUGCUGUGGUUUGUACAUGCUUGUCCCAGGGAGUGGCACUAUUAGAAGGUGUGAUCCUGUUGGAGUAGGUGUGUCACUGUGGGCGUGGGCUAUAAGACCCUCACCUUAGCUGCCUGGAAUUCAAUGUUCAUCUAGCAGUCUUCAGAUGAAGAUGUAGAACCGUAAGCUCCUCCUGCACAAUACCUGCCUGGAUGCUGCUUUGUUCCUGCCUUGGUGAUAAGUGACUGAACCUCAGAACUUGUAAGCCAGCCCCAAUUUAAUGUUGUCCUUGUAAGAGUUGCCUUGGUCACGGUGUCUCUUCACAGCAGUAAAACCCUGACUAAGACAGACACCAAUCAUGCUAGUUAAUUAGUGUCUUUGUAUUUGUCUUCUUCUUUGGGAACUAGGGGACAGGCCAUAACUACCUGAAUUGCGGUUCACAGCAAAUAAAAAACAAAACACAAACAAAGCAACUGGGUCCCUGAGGAAAGGAGGGGCAGCAGAUGUGAUCUGGCCAGCACCUUUCACUAACGGUUUCAUGCCAGAGUCACACAAACCUAAUUUUAUUUUUAACAAAAGUUAAGCUCAGUGUCUUUAAUUUGCUUCAGAUACUUGUGAAAAUUUCAAGAAAACAGAAGCCCGUAUUGCAGCAUUUUGAAUAAGCAAAAAUUACCGCAGAAAGGAAACAAACACAAACUUUAAACUUGGUUAAAAUUUGCAAACAUGAUGAUCCAGCAGACACACUCACGGUUUCGAAAUGUAAAUUCUCUACAGCCACACAGUUAAUUUAAAGUAUUUUUAUAUAUGUGCCUCUUCACACAGAAGGAAAAAGGAGAUCUUGACUAAGUGGAACUGAUUGGGAUGGACAUGUGUUUGUGUCUAUAGUGUCUAAUCAUCUGUGACAUUGCGUUCUUAAGUGAGACAGGUAAGGGGCCGAGAGUAGAAAGGCACACACGGCGCAGCCUCAUCUGAUGCUACAGUUCCUAAUCGUGAGCAUCACUUGAGAGUGAUAAAUUAUACAGUUCACUGGGAAAUAAAAUUUUAUUUCACAUAUCCCAGGCCAUUCAGAUUCUGUGUCGUGUUUAGCUUUUCCGACUCUGUCAGCACACAACAUCACAAUAUUUUAAGGUAAACAUAGGCAGAUGCAUUUGAACUUAUAUGAAGGUUUGAUGUUUGUAUAUAAUUUUAGGAGUAUAUAAUUCUUAUUGUUAAAGCACCCUUGCGAAUGAGCCCUUGUCUUUGAGAAGUUUAUUCUCCAUUAAAAAGAUUAAUGUGCUGAUAGAAGGAUUACAUUUGAAACAGCCAUUUUAAUUGUUUUUGAAAAGGCUAUUGCAAUAACAAAGUCACAUGACUCAUUGCACUAAAGGCUUUCAGUUGCCAUGGGAUGUAUAUAGGCAUAAAGGUUAUUAUGUUAAAUUUACUAGUAUCUAGGAAUUAUCGUUUUUAAUAUAAUAUAAUUUUUAAGUCAUUGUCACUAAUGUACAGACUUUCUUAGUAGUAUAGGCUACUUAGGGAAAGUUUACUACCAUGUGUUAAGUAAGAUACUGGAUAUAUUUAAAUAUUUCUUUACUCAUUACAGAGCUAAAUUUUGAGUGUACAGCAAUUUCAGAGAAUAAGAAGUAUAACAGCCUUUAUUAAAAUAGCCUUGUGUGAAAGUAAUGAAACACCCCAAUGGUUUACCUUUCUGUGAGAACUAGAUUGUCUUUCCCUGCUUUCUGUUUAUUCCAGCUUUACUCCAGAAUCGAGUGUUGGAGGAUAUUUGAUCACAUCAUGAACCCCAAGAUUGUAUUGUUUACU